UAAAUACUCCCUCCGUUUCAAAAUNCUUGUCUUAGAUUUGUCUAGAAAAUGGAUGUAUCUAAAUAUCAAAACAUGACUAGAUACAUUCAUAUCUAGACAAAUCUAAGAUAAGAAUUUUGGGACGGAAAGCAAGCC
rfam:Hordeum vulgare subsp. vulgare, WGS project CAJW01000000 data, contig: morex_contig_49743